UUCUUUUCUAUCACAACAAUCACAGUGAUCACAACGACACCAGACGGAACACAUGUUGUUGCUGUCAUGUACUUUCGCAUCCUCGUUUGAGGGGCGAAAGUACUUUCGCUCCUCUGUUGGGAGGCGAAAGUAUUUUCGCACCUCUUGUGAUGUCGUGGCUAACUGAGAGUUGAAUUUUUAUACUUUCGCAUCUCAUUCGGGAAGCGAAAAUUACAACUUUCGUAGUUGGUGUAAUGAAAAUUAAGUCUCAUAGGACUAGUUAAU